UGGAUCCAGACUUUGAUUAUGGCUCAGGAUGAACGCUGGCGGCAUGCCUAAGACAUGCAAGUCGUACGAGACGACCUUAAGAAGACUGAGUGCUUGCACAAAGUUGGAAGAAGAUAAUCGUCUAGUGGCAGACGGGUGAGUAACACGUGGGUAACCUACCUUCAAGCUGGGGAUAACAGUUGGAAACGACUGCUAAUACCGAAUAAGAUAUAGCAAUAUAUUGAAAGAAGCCUCUAAAGCUUCACUUAAAGAUGGGCCUGCGACGUAUUAACUAGUUGGUGAGAUAAUGGCCCACCAAGGUAACGAUGCGUAGCCGAACUGAGAGGUUGAACGGCCACACUGGGACUGAGACACGGCCCAGACUCCUACGGGAGACAGCAGUUAGGAAUAUUCGUCAAUGGGGGAAACCCUGAACGAGCAAUGCCGCGUGAGUGAUGAAGGCCCUAUGGGUUGUAAAACUCUGUUGUAUGGAAAGAACGACUAUAUUAGGAAAUGAAUAUAGAGUGACGGUACCAUACCAGAAAGCUCCGGCUAACUACGUGCCAGCAGCCGCGGUAAUACGUAGGGAGCGAGCGUUAUCCGGAUUUAUUGGGCGUAAAGCGUGUGUAGGCGGUUUAUUAAGUUUAAGAUAAAAGCCCGGGGCUCAACUCCGGUUCGUCUUAAAAACUGGUAGACUAGAGUGCGGUAGAGGUAAAUGGAAUUUCUAGUGUAGCGGUGAAAUGCGUAGAUAUUAGAAGGAACACCAGUGGCGAAGGCGAUUUACUGGGCCGUAACUGACGCUGAGGCACGAAAGCGUGGGGAGCAAAUAGGAUUAGAUACCCUAGUAGUCCACGCUGUAAACGAUGAGUACUAAGUGUCGGGUUACCGGUGCUGAAGUUAACACAUUAAGUACUCCGCCUGAGUAGUACGGUCGCAAGGCUGCAACUCAAAUGAAUUGACGGA
rnacentral:rRNA from 2 species